rnacentral:rRNA from 1 species
UACGUAGGGGGCUAGCGUUGUCCGGAAUCAUUGGGCGUAAAGCGCGUGUAGGCGGUCCGGUAAGUCCGCUGUGAAAGUCGGGGGCUCAACCCUCGGAUGCCGGUGGAUACUGUCGGGCUUGAGUACGGAAGAGGCGAGUGGAAUUCCUGGUGUAGCGGUGAAAUGCGCAGAUAUCAGGAAGAACACCCGUGGCGAAGGCAGCUCGCUGGGACGGUACUGACGCUGAGGCGCGAAAGCGUGGGGAGCAAACAGG